rnacentral:misc_RNA from 1 species
UGAAAACAUAUGCUUCAUGAACAUGAAGAGUCUAAGCUACAAUAUGUGUCCUCGUUCGCAGAUGGGGAGGAGAUUAUCCCUAAAGCGUGGAAAUGAGUUUGAAGGUUGGGAGAUUCCUAUCUAGACAGUAUUAUGUAACCUGUUGUUAUUGGAGGUCAGAACUUACAGGAAAAUAAGCUUUUCCAAUCAUUAAUAACCUCAUCAUUUUCACUUUUCAAAGCUGAAACUUAAAAUGGAGUACAUACUAUGUUUGCUAAUUGCUAAAUAACAAUUUGGGUCAACAUCAUUUGAGUGGCAGUUGUUUUUGUACAAGGUGAUAACAGCAACUUCACAGGCAUAUGAUAGAUACAAG